rnacentral:lncRNA from 1 species
CUGUCCAAUGGGAUUCUUUUUUGACAGCUAUCAUCAGUUCAAAUGCUGAAUGCUUUUUCCAUUUUCUCAAUUAUUGGCGCAUGGGAUCGAGCUGCCACUUUUGUGGAUAUCAAAGAUCCUGCAGCAACAGCACUUCUAAUUUUCUUUUCAUUUUUUGUAUGGUUCGGAUUGUUGCUUCAUAUAAGUUUAGAUUUUUUCCAAGUAAUGUUUUUUUUAUGUGCGAUGCUUUCUCUUCUUUUAAAAGGCGAUCCAAAAAUUUGUAUUUUUACUUCUAACUUAAAUUCCUCUUAAAUGUUGUUUUAUUUUUAUCAUAGUUUGGGCCUAAAAUUUAAUUUACCAAAAAUUAGUUGUAAAAAAAAA